rnacentral:lncRNA from 1 species
GGCUGGCUUCUCAGAGAACAGUGUAGCAGUGUAGUUGGGAGGAGUUCCGGGAGGAACCGUUCCCUUGUUAGUUCUCCUAGCCCCUGCUGAAGCUCCAGAGCCCAGCCCUGUCUUUGCUCCCUUUUUCGGGUUCUGCCUUUCCAUCACAGUGCCCUCUGACCCCUUUCUUCUCGGUUUAGCCCACGGACACCUGACCCUUCACUUCCAUUCCUGCAUUUCCAGGUCACAGCACCGCAACCUACUCCAGCUCACUUCCUCCCAGGCAUCCGGUCAAGUCACAACCUGUAGCCUGUUCUUAAGGCGUAGACAUGAACAAGUGGCUCCCAGUCCAUCUCUGCAUUCAUAAAUUGAAGAGGAUGACAUGUUCCCAAGAGAGCCCCCUGGGAUCCUCAGGAGCCCUCCAUCUUAUGGCUCCCCAAAGGAGAAACAGAAUUACCUCGUCACUUCCUGGUAUCUGGUCUGCCCCCAGAAGACCAGGAGCCACCUCCAGAUACCACUGAUACAUGGACUUGGGAUUAAGUUUUCCAACACAUUUUCCUCUGGGGUGGCGGGACAUUCAGACCAUGGCCAUCUCCUUCUGUCGCUGCAUGGAAUGAAGAGCCUUCACUUCACAGACAUGGAAGAGAAUAGAACAAAAGAUUCCACAGAUCAACUCAGGGUGGUGUCAACAAGAGACAGCAAUGAGGCGGAACACCCGGGUCGCCGCUAACUCUAGCUCUCAGGCUGUGCUGGCCACUGGCUUUCCCUACCAGAGGACGGUUUUGACGGGCAGACACAGUCACUGCACUAGUGGGUGCUCACCGUGACAGAUCAAGACAACUGUGUGGUAUGCACUCCGGGUUUCAGUCUUCCCGGACAUCUAACCAACCUGGGUUUUCUGGGCCAUGGGGACCCAGGCCAUUUUCUAUGCUGACCCCUGCCUGCGCUUUUGUCCCCUACAGAGCUGGUCUGAAGCACAGUCCUCUUCCCCGUGCAUGAAGACCAAGAAGGGUGAUCAUAGAACCGGUUCAGUGGGUGAGAUGUUUAUCUGUAAACACUACAAAGAACAGGGCCCAGAAGGCUUUUCGGGGGAGCCACAAUCAGUUUCUCAGUCUCUGCUGUGUGUUGUGUGUAUUUGUGUGUGUUGUAUAUGUGUCACAUGCAUAUACACAUAGACAUGCUACAUGGAUACAUUAUCAGAUUUUAGUUUUAUGUAUAUAUGUACAAUAUAUGUGCAGUGCCCAAGAAAGCCAGAAGGGGGUGUUUGUGAGCUGCCAUGUAGGUUUUGAGACUCAAACCUGAUUCUCUUAACCACCCUCUUGAGCCCCAGGUAGCACAUUCUAAUCCUAGCAUUUAGCAUCAAAUGUCUCAUAGCUGUGGGUGGGGCUUAAUUAGCCCUCUAAGUCUCACAGGUGAGUGGACUAGAUCCCAGAGUCAGUGCAGCAAGAGUUUUGACAAUUAGCUGACAACCUAAGACAGCCUAAGCAUCCAAUGAGGAAAUCUAUCCUCUCCUUCCUUCUUCAGCCCCACCAGGCUGCCCAUAGCUAAACCCAAAGAAGGCUAGUGUGCCAGAGCCAAGGCCCGAGGGGAGAGCAUCUGUCACACACGUGGUACUCAGGUUGCCACCCAGAGCCUUGGUUAGUGACACUUAAAAAUCUGCAUCCCGGCUGGGCCUGGUGGUGAAUGCCGAGGCAGGUGGAUCUCUGUGAGUUCAGGGGUAGCCUGGUCUACAUAGUGAAUUUCAGUACACCUACAGCUAUGUAGAGAGACCCUGUCUCAAAAUAACCCCCUGUGCCUCAGGCAUGUGGGUGACACUGACUGGGAGAGCCUCAGGCAUGUGGGUGACACUGGCUGGGAGAAACCCAGAGCUUUCCAUGUCCCCAGGCCAGCAUGAUGCUGUGCGCUCUAGACACGCUCCUUUGACAGGGCUGACAGUCAACCUCACCAGCUGCCCUGGUCUGUCAGGACGUGGGCUACGGGUCAGAGCACAGUAACAGAGGGGCCUGUGUGGGUGAGAGGAACAAAGAGGCCUGUGGUCACGACACCCACAUACAGUCGCCUGGACUCCUCAGGGACAAAGGGCAGAGUUCUAAUUUGGGCUCACAGUGGGAGCAGGAGAAACCAUGUUCUUGUUUUCUGCACACUUGUGGUGGGCUUGCUCAGCCCUUGCAUUCGGCCUGUUCUGGGUUCCCAUGAAACUGUCUCUAACCUCAUGUUCACAGCCCACACAGCUGAUCCCUGAGGCCAUCAUGGCUUGGUCACAUGCACACUCCUGAACAGUGUGGCCAGGAUCCUGACACCAUGGCUGGGCCCUACUAUGUGCCUGGUUAAGAAUCUUAGAUGGUCUCCUUCAUCGGGUGGCUUGUCCACCGUGCUCCCUGACAGCCGGGCUGGUCCCCAGUGGGGAUGGAAGUCUAUGGUGCUCUCUGACAGGAGAAAUGUCACUUUAGUCCUCUUGAUUCCUUGGGAGACAGCCCCACCCCUGCCUUGGGGCUCCUCCGGGCUCCUUGCUCUGCUAGGUGUUUACCUGGGAGUUGCUAGUGUGGACUGCACGUAGCCCUUUGCACUUCCUUCUUCAGUGCUCCUUGGCCUUUUGUCUGCCGUGCUCCUGUCAGUGGCUGUGAUUGGGGCAGAGGGUAGAGCACCUUGCUGAAGGUGGCUCCUGGACCUUGCUCUCUCCUCCACCCAAACCUCCCUAACAUCCCAGGCUCAGGGACUUGUCUCACCAGCUCACUUUAUCAAAGUAAGAGAAAGAAAAGACAGUCUAGGCCAGCCAGUGCUGGCUGCUGCACCCUGCUGCACGACAAAGACAGAUCUUUUUGUUUUGUUUUGGUUUGUUUGUUUUGUCAAAGCCAGGUCUUGUCAGCCUUGGUUCUGCAGAGCUGUGCACACUGUUGGUGCUCUAUGCUCUGCCCAGGUUCCUGAAACAUCGACUCCCUCCCACCUCUUGUACCACCUGUAGAAAAGAACCAACCCCCAAAAGUUGUCCUCUGGUCUCCACAUGCACACCAUGGCACGUGUGCCCAAGUUGACUGUCUGUGGACAUAAAGUAA